rnacentral:rRNA from 1 species
AGAGUUUGAUCAUGGCUCAGAUUGAACGCUGGCGGCAGGCCUAACACAUGCAAGUCGAGCGGUAGCACAGAGAGCUUGCUCUCGGGUGACGAGCGGCGGACGGGUGAGUAAUGUCUGGGAAACUGCCUGAUGGAGGGGGAUAACUACUGGAAACGGUAGCUAAUACCGCAUAAUGUCGCAAGACCAAAGUGGGGGACCUUCGGGCCUCAUGCCAUCAGAUGUGCCCAGAUGGGAUUAGCUAGUAGGUGGGGUAACGGCUCACCUAGGCGACGAUCCCUAGCUGGUCUGAGAGGAUGACCAGCCACACUGGAACUGAGACACGGUCCAGACUCCUACGGGAGGCAGCAGUGGGGAAUAUUGCACAAUGGGCGCAAGCCUGAUGCAGCCAUGCCGCGUGUGUGAAGAAGGCCUUCGGGUUGUAAAGCACUUUCAGCGGGGAGGAAGGCGAUAAGGUUAAUAACCUCAUCGAUUGACGUUACCCGCAGAAGAAGCACCGGCUAACUCCGUGCCAGCAGCCGCGGUAAUACGGAGGGUGCAAGCGUUAAUCGGAAUUACUGGGCGUAAAGCGCACGCAGGCGGUCUGUCAAGUCGGAUGUGAAAUCCCCGGGCUCAACCUGGGAACUGCAUUCGAAACUGGCAGGCUAGAGUCUUGUAGAGGGGGGUAGAAUUCCAGGUGUAGCGGUGAAAUGCGUAGAGAUCUGGAGGAAUACCGGUGGCGAAGGCGGCCCCCUGGACAAAGACUGACGCUCAGGUGCGAAAGCGUGGGGAGCAAACAGGAUUAGAUACCCUGGUAGUCCACGCCGUAAACGAUGUCGAUUUGGAGGUUGUGCCCUUGAGGCGUGGCUUCCGGAGCUAACGCGUUAAAUCGACCGCCUGGGGAGUACGGCCGCAAGGUUAAAACUCAAAUGAAUUGACGGGGGCCCGCACAAGCGGUGGAGCAUGUGGUUUAAUUCGAUGCAACGCGAAGAACCUUACCUGGUCUUGACAUCCACAGAACUUUCCAGAGAUGGAUUGGUGCCUUCGGGAACUGUGAGACAGGUGCUGCAUGGCUGUCGUCAGCUCGUGUUGUGAAAUGGUUGGGUUAAGUCCCGCAACGAGCGCAACCCUUAUCCUUUGUUGCCAGCGGUCCGGCCGGGAACUCAAAGGAGACUGCCAGUGAUAAACUGGAGGAAGGUGGGGAUGACGUCAAGUCAUCAUGGCCCUUACGACCAGGGCUACACACGUGCUACAAUGGCAUAUACAAAGAGAAGCGACCUCGCGAGAGCAAGCGGACCUCAUAAAGUAUGUCGUAGUCCGGAUUGGAGUCUGCAACUCGACUCCAUGAAGUCGGAAUCGCUAGUAAUCGUAGAUCAGAAUGCUACGGUGAAUACGUUCCCGGGCCUUGUACACACCGCCCGUCACACCAUGGGAGUGGGUUGCAAAAGAAGUAGGUAGCUUAACCUUCGGGAGGGCGCUUACCACUUUGUGAUUCAUGACUGGGGGUGAAGUCGUAACAAGGUAACCGUAGGGGAACCUGCGGUUGGAUCACCU